GAGUAAUCUGCCCUUCACUUUGGGAUAACCCCCGGAAACGGGGGCUAAUACCGGAUAUGUACUGUCUCGCGCAUGCGGGGUGGUGGAAAGUUUUUUCGGUGGAGGAUGGGCUCGCGGCCUAUCAGCUUGUUGGUGGGGUAAUGGCCUACCAAGGCGACGACGGGUAGCCGGCCUGAGAGGGUGACCGGCCACACUGGGACUGAGACACGGCCCAGACUCCUACGGGAGGCAGCAGUGGGGAAUAUUGGACAAUGGGCGGAAGCCUGAUCCAGCAACGCCGCGUGAGGGAUGACGGCCUUCGGGUUGUAAACCUCUUUCAGUAUCGACGAAGCUCUGGUCUGUGGGAUUGGGGUGACGGUAGGUACAGAAGAAGCACCGGCCAACUACGUGCCAGCAGCCGCGGUAAUACGUAGGGUGCAAGCGUUGUCCGGAAUUAUUGGGCGUAAAGAGCUCGUAGGCGGUUCGUCGCGUCGGGAGUGAAAACUCAGGGCUUAACUCUGAGCUGGCUUCUGAUACGGGCGGGCUAGAGGUAGGUAGGGGAGAACGGAAUUCCUGGUGUAGCGGUGGAAUGCGCAGAUAUCAGGAGGAACACCGGUGGCGAAGGCGGUUCUCUGGGCCUUACCUGACGCUGAGGAGCGAAAGCAUGGGGAGCGAAAGGGA
rnacentral:rRNA from 1 species